GUGCCAGCAGCCGCGUAAUACGGAGGGUGCAAGCGUUAUCCGGAUUCACUGGGUUUAAAGGGUGCGUAGGCGGGCGUAUAAGUCAGUGGUGAAAUCCUGGAGCUUAACUCCAGAACUGCCAUUGAUACUAUAUGUCUUGAAUAUGGUGGAGGUAAGCGGAAUAUGUCAUGUAGCGGUGAAACGCAUAGAUAUGACAUAGAACACCUAUUGCGAAGGCAGCUUACUACGCCUAUAUUGACGCUGAGGCACGAAAGCGUGGGGAUCAAACAGGAUUAGAUACCCUGGUAGUCCACGCCCUAAACGAUGAUUACUCGACGUGUGCGAUAAACGGUACGCGUCUGGGCGAAAGCAUUAAGUAAUCCACCUGGGAAGUACGACCGCAAGGUUGAAACUCAAAGGAAUUGGCGGGGGUCCGCACAAGCGGUGGAGCAUGUGGUUUAAUUCGAUGAUACGCGAGGAACCUUACCUGGGCUAGAAUGCAGUCUGACCGUGGGUGAAAGCUCAUUUUGUAGCAAUACACAGAUUGUAAGGUGCUGCAUGGCUGUCGUCAGCUCGUGCCGUGAGAGUUGGGUUAAGCCCGCAACGAGCGCAACCCCCUAUCAUUAGUUGCCAACAGGUAAAGCUGGGAACUCUAGUGAAACUGCCGUCGCAAGGAGCCGAGGAAAGAAGGGGAUGAUGUCAAGUCAUCAUUGGCCUUAUAUGCCUCAAGGCUAACACACGUGCUAACAAUAGGUGGGACAAAAGAGCUGCGACACAAUGAUGUGAAGCGAAUCCCAAAAAACAACUUUCUCAGGUUCAGAUCGGGAGCUGGCAACUACGACUCCCUGGAAAUGUGUAAAUCCCUAG
rnacentral:rRNA from 1 species